UACGUAGGGGCUAGCGUUGUCCGGAAUCAUUGGGCGUAAAGCGCGUGUAGGCGGCCCGAUAAGUCCGCUGUGAAAGUCGGGGGCUCAACCCGUCGGAUGCCGGUGGAUACUGUCGGGCUCGAGUACGGAAGAGGCGAGUGGAAUUCCUGGUGUAGCGGUGAAAUGCGCAGAUAUCAGGAGGAACACCAAUUGCGAAGGCAGCUCGCUGGGACGUUACUGACGCUGAGACGCGAAAGCGUGGGGAGCAAACAGG
rnacentral:rRNA from 1 species